GGAUGUGAGGGUGAUCCUGCUGCAACAUAUAUCACCCCAUUGAUUGCUCAUCUAGCUGGCUAGGUGUGUUUCCCCUUCCUCCCUGGCUGUUCUAUGAGUGUCCUUCCUGAAGUUGCAUGCUUGGUUGAAGAAGAUGACCAUCCCUUAUAGACGAUGACUGACCUUUAGUCAAGGGUGUACAAGUAGCUGCAAUCCCCUGCUAGAACCUCCAAAGAAGUUCUCAAGAUUGAUAUUUUCUUUUCUUUACACAAUCACCUAAAAUUGUGGGGGGGUUAAUAUAUAUUAAUUUUUAUUGUAAAGAUACUAUACAAAGGGGUUACAGUUA
ensembl:misc_RNA 7SK 7SK RNA